UAUGGCCACAUCACAUUGAAAAACCAGUUCCUGUACGAUCACCAAAGUUAAGCAUCAUUGAGCCUGGUUAGUACCUAGAUGGGUGAGCAUUUGGAAAUACCAGGUACUGUAAG